CUCUGGGUCACGGGGUCAGAGGUCAUCAGAGGUCAGUGACCUUGUUCUCCACCAGGGCGGCGACCUGCUGCAACCGAUAGGCUAACUGCAUCUUCUGACCUGAACUGUCCUCCUCCAGGGACAUGAUGAUCUGAAAGACAGAGUUCGUGAAGAGCAACGAGACUGUUCAUCUCUGAAGCAAAACUCUGAAGACAGACAGGUCAGAGAGACAGACAGGUCAGAGAGACAGACAGGUCAGAGAGACAGACAGACAGGAAGGCAGCUGAGAGACAGACAGGCAGAGAGACAAACAGACAGGCAGACAGACAAAUCGUACCCGUCCCACUUUGUGCUCGG